GGGUCUUUACCAAAAGUCAGACCA
rnacentral:snRNA from 1 species